GGGCCCGCACAAGCGGCGGAGCGUGCGGUUUAAUUCGACGCGACGCGCAGAACCUUACCAAGGCUUGACAUGUCCCUGCAGACCUGGGAAACCAGGGGGCCUUCGAGGGUGGGACACAGGUGCUGCA
rnacentral:rRNA from 1 species